rnacentral:rRNA from 1 species
UUUGAACGCGAAGAACCUUACCUGGGUUUGACAUGGCCGCAAAACCUGCAGAGAUGUGGGGUCCUUCGGGGGCGGUCACAGGUGGUGCAUGGCUGUCGUCAGCUCGUGUCGUGAGAUGUUGGGUUAAGUCCCGCAACGAGCGCAACCCUUGUUCGAUGUUGCCAGCGGUUCGGCCGGGGACUCAUCGAAGACUGCCGGGGUCAACUCGGAGGAAGGUGGGGAUGAGGUCAAGUCAUCAUGCCCCUUAUGUCCAGGGCUUCACGCAUGCUACAAUGGCCGGUACAAAGGGCUGCGAUACCGUAAGGUGGAGCGAAUCCCAAAAAGCCGGUCUCAGUUCGGAUCGGGGUCUGCAACUCGACCCCGUGAAGUCGGAGUCGCUAGUAAUCGCAGAUCAGCAACGCUGCGGUGAAUACGUUCCCGGGUCUUGUACACACGCAA